rnacentral:lncRNA from 1 species
UUUGUUAACCAAAACAAGAAAGGAGUAUAGCGGUCACGCAUAUGACAAAUUUAAACAGAGUACUUCACGCUAAAAACAUCUCGCCGGAGUUCAUCAACUCAACACACCAUAGUUCACCACACAUAGCAUAGGGGAACCGAAACAUAGCAUAUAGGGGAUCUACUAGUCGUCGAAGCCGGGGGUGGGCGGGGGACUACUUCACCGAGGUUCUACUCAUCCGAGUCAGAGUCAUCCGAGUCGGAGUCAUCGUCCUCAUCGUCUUCGUCACUGGAGAUGACCUCGGUGGGCAGCGGCUUCCCUCCGUGAAUGGUGUCGUAGAUGAGGUCGUCGUAGAUCUGGCUUUGGAGGUCAUACUCCUCCCAUAGCACACAAGAAGGCAGGGUUACUUACUUUUUUUUUUGGAAUGAAAAACUCUUAAAAAUUCCAGCGGUUGACUGGUGUUUGUUAAUAAAAAGAAGAAAGGAGUAUGAAAGUAGGAAGGUGGGAGGGGGAAGCGAAGGAAGCGAGUGAGCGGUUUACUUUUGUAGUUCCCUUCCCUACACACUCAUGCAAGCGGUUUAUUCUUGCGGUGUCCCCAUGACGCUUGUGCUUCAGUCGAUGUUGUUGUCAUCGUUGUCACGGUGGUCGAGUUUGGGUUGCGUUUGUGACGGUACUCAUAUUUUUUUCCGUUGUUAACCGAAAGAAUAUGGCUCGUCUGCCUUUUAAUUGCUAGCAAAGCACACAUAGAAAGGCAUGACUGAUUACUUGGGAUGAGCAGGCUGGUUGUUUUUGUCCUGAACCCCAGAAAAUCGCCCUUUUAGCAAAGCAGAAGAAAAGGCAGGGUUACUUACUUUUUUUGGAAAUGGGAAACUCUUAAAAAUUCCAGCAGUUGACUGGUGUUUGUUAAUCAAAAGAAUAAAAGAAAAGAAAAAAGAAGAACAAAGAAGUAUGAGAGCAGGAAGGUGGGAGGGGAAAGCGAGUGAGCAGUUUAUUCUUGCGGUUCCCUUUCCCACACGCUCAUGCAAGCGGUUUAUUCUUGCAGUGUCUCCGCGACACUUGUGCUUCGUUGAUGUUGUCGUCAUCGUAGUCAAGUUUGGGUUGCUUUUGUUGCGGAUUGGGUGCUGGGUUUCGCAUCCAUGCCUUGCGAUGUCAUGUUGUUUAGAGUUCUUCGGCGAGGCACGCCCCUGUGGCGUGACAGGGGGCGUGCCUUUUUACCCUUUUAGUGUACUAGCACACUAAUGAAAAAGGCAUGUGUUACUUACUUUGGAGUGAAAAAAGUCUUGAUUACAUAUGAUUGAUAAUGUCAGUCGACCGGUGUGUGUUUGUUUGUUAAUUAUAUUAGUAUAUAUAAAUAAAAUAAGAAAAGGAAAGGAAAAGGAAUAUGAAAGCAGUAAGGUGGAAGGGGAAAGCGAAGGGUUUAUUCUUCCAUUUGUGUUGUAGAAAGAAGUCGUCAUUUUCUUCCGUUGCCUUGCCUACGCACGCGCCUCCUUCUUCUUUCUUUCUUGUGCCGACACACAGAGAGAGAGAACCCAUUGUCUAUCAUCAUCAGCAUCCAUCCAUCCACCAAAACAAAUAUUCCACCUUUCCUUUUUGUUUCCAGAUUACCGGAGGAAUGAUGAGUUGAUUCAUUCUCACUAUCCACUCCAAAAUCUACUCGAGCUCACCUCAUCCAUCCACCAAAAAGGCAGGGUUACUUACUUUUAUGGAAUGGAAAACUCUUAAAAAUUCCAGCAAUUGACUUGUGUUUAUUAAUCAAAAGAAGAAAGGAGGAUAGCGAUCCCGCAUAUGAUAGAAAUUUAAACAAAGUACUUCGCGCUAGAAACAUCUCGCAGGAGUUCAUCAACCCAACACAUCAUAGUUCACCACGCAUAGCAUAGGGGAGUUUUUGCAAACCAUAAUAAUUAUACAUAGCAUAGGGGCACCGAAACAUAGCAUAGGGGAUCUACUAGUCGCCGGAGCUGGGGGUGGGCGGGGUCUACUUCACCGGGGUUCUACUCAUCGGAGUCAGAGUCAUCGCCCUCGUCAUUGUCGUCGCUGGAGAUGACCUCGGCGGGUAGCGGCUUCCCUCCAUAAAUGGUGUCGUAGAUGAGGUCGCAGUAGAUCCGGCUUUGGAGUUGGUACUCAUCCCAGAGCGUCAGCAGCCGCACAGCCGCAACCGCAUCUUUGGCAUCGGCGGCGGUCCUCGCCUGAAACCACGCCCACUCGGCCUCCCACUGGCACUCCCACUGGCACUGGAUCGCCGAGUCGAAGAGCCGGUCGCAGCGCCGGGAGGUCUUCCACGCACGCGACCUCGAUCCAGCACUGCGGGACUUGGCGCCACGCGUGCACGCCGCCGCCCGUUGCUUCUUCGACACCGGAGAGCGGAGGCCAGAGUCGCCGGCCUCGUCGUCGUUCUGGCGCUUGCGGGCGAAGAAGCCGCCGCGCGCACCGCCUCCACCGCGACACCCGAAGCCACCGCGAUCGCCGAACCCCCUUCCGCCGCCACGCCCCGCACCGGCGGACGCCAUGGUAGCUUCGAUCCGGCAGAAAACAGGCCGCAAAAGGCCGUCGCUCGAUUUCUCACUGGAGUACACGAAAGGCGGCGGAGAGGGCUAGAGGAAAUGGAGGGCGG